GGAGGUGUGUGUGUGCAUGUGGAAGUGUGCGUGUGCAUGUGAAAGUAUGUGUGUGCAGGUGGAAGUGUGUGUGUGCAGGUGGAGGUGUGUGUGUGCAGGUGGAAGUGUGCAUGCAUGUGGAAGUGUGCGUGUGCAUAUGGAUGUGUGUGCAUGUGAAGGUUGUGUGCAUGUGGAGGUGUGCGUGCGCAUGUGGAGGUGUGCGUGUUCAUGUGAAGGUGUGUGUGUGCAUGUGAAGGUAUGUGUGUGCAGGUGGAGGUGUGUGUCCCUACGGAGGUGUGCAUCUGCAUGUGAAGGUGUGCGUGUGCAUGUGAAGGUGUGUGUGUGCAUGUGGAGGUGUAUCUGUGCAUGUGGAGGUGUGCGUGUGCAGCUGGAGGUGUGUGUGCAGGUGGAAGUGUGCAUGUGCAUGUGAAGGUAUGCAUGUGCAGGUGGAGGUGUGUGCAUG
rnacentral:lncRNA from 1 species